CCUCGUGUGCAGUGGCAAUAUCACAGCCAAUGAGAUUUAUCCAAGGCGAGAUUAUCGCUAAUUGAAAACUUUUCCCAGUAUCCCCCACUCCACUGCUGCUGCAAUAACUUGAAAGCACUUCUUAGCCAGGCAGGUGGGUUUUAAUAAUAAGCUACCCAGC
rnacentral:snRNA from 1 species